GAUGAACGCUGGCGGCGUGCCUAAUACAUGCAAGUCGAGCGAAUGGAUUAAGAGCUUGCUCUUAUGAAGUUAGCGGCGGACGGGUGAGUAACACGUGAGUAACCUGCCCAUAAGACUGGGAUAACUCCGGGAAACCGGGGCUAAUACCGGAUAACAUUUUGAACCGCAUGGCUCGAAAUUGAAAGGCGGCUUCGGCUGUCACUUAUGGAUGGACCCGCGUCGCAUUAGUUAGUUGGUGAGGUAACGGCUCACCAAGGCAACGAUCCGUAGCCGCCCUGGGAGGGUGUUCGGCCACACUGGGCCUGAGACACGGCCCAGACUCCUACGGGAGGCAGCAGUAGGGAAUCUUCCGCAAUGGACGAAAGUCUGACGGAGCAACGCCGCGUGAGUGAUGAAGGCUUUCGGGUCGUAAAACUCUGUUGUUAGGGAAGAACAAGUGCUAGUUGAAUAAGCUGGCACCUUGACGGUACCUAACCAGAAAGCCACGGCUAACUACGUGCCAGCCGCCGCCGUAA
rnacentral:rRNA from 1 species